rnacentral:misc_RNA from 1 species
AUUCACUAAUAUUGUUAUUGACCAUAUUCAAAGAGAAUUCUUCUGUCAUCAGCAUACUUUGAACAUGAUCAAGAAGUCCUGUAAGUUCUCGAUGAACAUGAGUAAAACGUUCCUUGGAUACCAAUGACUCUGUCAAUAGAGUUGAUGCAAGAGAAUGAAAGGUUUGAGCACACUCAUCACUGUUGCUUUGAGCAUUUUGAUCAUCCAUUGGCAACAAAGAAUGCUUCCUUCGCCAACGAAGAGGUAAGUAUUUUUCCGGGAGCUGAAAGUAGUUCUUGACUGAAAGUACUCUAAGAGAGUGCCUACAUAAUAUUCCAGACUGGUCAAAUUCCUUGCAUGAACAAU